UUUUACUUUAAAAAAUAAUAAAAGCUCCUGUUAGUUCUUCAAAUUUUGAUAGCGAUUUUAUUAAUGAAAGCAGUAACUGAGACCUGUGAGGAUGUUAAAUCCAGUUCUGAGCAAGCCCAUGUGAACCGGUAAGUGCAACUGAAGGCAAUGAAGGAAGGUGGCCAGUGUAUCCAGUUAUCUGCUAUUCAUCCACUGAUGAAGUGACUGGUUUACUAGCAGAGCUGCCAAGUGUGUCCCUUCAGUUAAGGGAAAUUUGCCCUUCUUGCUUGCUCUUAGGAGGAGAGAAGAAUCUAUGUAUUGGUAAUAAAUGCUGUUAGAGGACAAUCACAGCUUUGCUUAAUGAAAGUAAAGCUGUUUGGCUAUUUUGUGCCUGUACUGUCAUAACCAUUUAACUCUUGGUGAUGGGGAGUGCCAGCUUCAAUCAUGUGCAAAUGCGGAGGAAGCAAUGGAUGCCUAUAAUAAUACUAUACUGGCCUGAAAUAAAGACUUUUUAAUAAUUCGUAAGGUAUGCUAAGUUUUCAUUAUAAACCCAACUUUUAAAUUUGAAUUCAAUCUCUUUGAAGGUAAGUCACUGCUAAUAGGAAUUCUUUUAAGGUAAGAUUUAGCAAAGUCAAAUCCCCUUCAAUACUGAAGCGGAAAGAAGGAAAUCUUACUGCAGACAACUGCCCCUCUGACUUGAAUGAAUCGAUAUUCAAGAUCUUCACUGUUUUGUGUUUUAAAAAGAUUUUUUGUACUGACUUCUAGGACUUGACACUUUCUCAAAUCAGACAAGCAAUAAUUUGAUGUUUGGAAUUACUUCAGUGUUGGUUCUUGCCUUCCCAUGACAGGUGAUUCUCUAUUUGUCUGUGUAAUCAGCACAUCCUUGCCUGUAUGCCUGAGCAUCUGAUAAGCAGUUGGUAAAAUAACUACUGAGAACUAAUUUUAUAUAUAGGGUCUGUCAUGCCAAAAAUAGUUACUAUGCAAAUAAAUGUCAGGGCAAAUGGAAGGAGGAAGUGAAAGAUUAUAGAGCAGCACUGUCCUGAAAUUAGCAAAGUGUGAGGCAAACCAGCACUUCUUGGUCCUCAGCAGAUGAACAGUCCCCAGAAAGAGUCUUUAGGCUGCGUGCUCCCCUCCUCAUUACACCUUGAUGGAUCUUCUGUUCUGCUCCCAGAAGUCCAAAGGUGAAAACGGGUAAGUGUGCAGAAUGAGCAGAAGUAUGAAACAAGGAGUGUCAACAAAUUUCACAAGGAUUAAUGUUUGCAUCACUGAUAAUGCAGAAGGAGAAUCGCAUGGCAUGAUAAGAAGUAAAAGUGAUCAGAAGGCGGUGUGACUGCGAAAGGGGAAGAAAAUGAAAAGUUGAAUGAUGGAGGGCCCCCACUUGCUGCAGCAGUGCAGACAGCUUUGAAUGAAUCACAGUAUUCCAAGAAUCACUGACAAACCUUGUCACAUGGGCAACCCACAGCACAGGAGCUGCCAGAAUGAUGCAGUGACUAAGGAGGCUGAUGUGAUCCCUGGAUGUAGAAUACCUUCUGUAGGAGUGAAGAGCAUUAGGCCCAGACAGCGGUUGAAAACCACAGCUCAGUUGGUGAUGAGCACUGUGCAGCAGCGGAAGCGUGUGGAAAAAUUCUGGCUGACUCAUCCAUAAUUCAUCUGGCGUCCCAGGGAAUGUGCGCACUGGAGAGGGAUCCCUGGCACUCCUGCAAGGAAGAGGCCUGCUGCCACAGCAAGAUGUGGGCAACAACCAGCCCUCUUUUACCCAGAUGGCCUCUGAAGGACCACAUGCAACAUCUCCCAUACCUGUGACUAUGUGCACCCUUGGCCCAGCCAGGCAGACGUGCUGCUUGAACUGCAGCAGCCCCAGGACAAGGUAGAGAAGAACUGCCUGAAUUUGAGAACAAAGCCUCACUGAGACACUUGCUUUUCAGUCCUGCCUGACAGCUGAGUUCCACACAGAAGGUAUGUUAAGUUAGGAAAGCUUCCUGUAACCUCUGCCCCUUUGAAAAACACCCAACAGCCAGAUUAAAUCUGUUUUGCAGUGACUUUCAUGUCAUCAGCUAGAGCCGUCUCUAAAAAGGUGCAAGCACAACAGCCAAGUGAUUGUGCUAGAGACGCAUGAGUUAAUUUUUAAAUGUUUCCUGUUUCACCCUUAAGAAUGACCUUUACUAAAAAAAAAGUAAAUUCAAAUUAGUAUUAAAUACAUUUUCUUAAAUAGAAUCAACUAUGGAAAAGGUUCUUUCAACUCCUUAACAUACACAAUCACGAUACACUGAUUACUGUACAAGAUUACUAUAGUAUCUCUUUGAAGUUCGCAUAUGGAGUUCAACUAUAUAUAUACAUAAAAAAAACCUAAAAUGGGGGAUUAGUCAGAUUACUAUUGGCUUGCCUUUUCUUUAUUACCUCAUGUUUAUUUUCUCAGUUACACACUGAAUAUUUCAAACAUUGCGUGCCCCUUAGUAGCAAAUAUCUCCAUUCCUGUUCCAACACAGGACCCUGGCUUUUGAUACCCGAUACGCUAUGUGCCAAUGUGAAGCUUGAUUUACCAGU